rnacentral:rRNA from 1 species
CCUACGGGUGGCAGCAGUGAGGAAUAUUGGUCAAUGGUCGGGAGACUGAACCAGCCAAGCCGCGUGAGGGAGGAAGGUACAGAGUAUCGUAAACCUCUUUUGUCAGGGAACAAAGACUGGGACGCGUCCCCGGAUGAGUGUACCUGAAGAAAAAGCAUCGACUAACUCCGUGCCAGCAGCCGCGGUAAUACGGAGGAUGCGAGCGUUAUCCGGAUUUAUUGGGGUAAAAGGGUGCGCAGGCGGUCUGUUAAGUCAGCGGCAAAAGCCCGGGGCCCAACCCCGGCCCGCCGUUGAAACUGGCAGUCUCGAGUUGGAGAGAAGUAUGCGGAAUGCGCGGUGUAGCGGUGAAAUGCAUAGAUAUCGCGCAGAACUCCGAUUGCGAAGGCAGCAUGCCGGCUCCACACUGACGCUGAGGCACGAAAGCGUGGGUAUCGAACAGGAUUAGAUACCCGUGUAGUC